rnacentral:rRNA from 1 species
CGUGUAGGCGGCUUAUUAAGUCAGAUGUGAAAGCCCACGGCUUAACCGUGGAACUGCAUUUGAAACUGACAGGCUUGAGUAUGAGAAGGGGUAGUGGAAUUCCCAGUGUAGCGGUGAAAUGCGUAGAUAUUGGGAAGAACACCAGUAGCGAAGGCGGCUACCUGGCUCACUACUGACGCUAAUGCGCGAAAGCGCGGGGAGCAAACA